rnacentral:rRNA from 1 species
AUUAACAAGUAAAUAAUAAAUGUACUAUCACGAAGGAAUAUGAGCUAAACGCACACAUGAUGCGUGCGUUGUAUAGCACGUAUUAAAUGUGCGUUUAGGGGUGAUAGGCUUUUCAAGUGUUCUUAUAACUUGUUUCAUAUGAAAAGUAUUAAGUACCUAAACAAAUUUAAAAAGUUAAGCUUUUAAAUAAAUAUUAAAUAUAUUAUUUUCUAGUAGUGUAGUUUAAUAGCUAUCUACAUAAUAAUUUAACAUAAAGUAUGAUAGUUUAUAUUUUAUAGUAUGACGUUAACAAUUUUGCUAAUAUUUGAAAAUGUUAGUAUUAGUAAUAUUAGUAUAUGUGCUAAAGGAACUCGGCAAAAUACCGCUCAACUGUUUAUCAAAAACAUAGCUAUAUGAAUUAGUAUAUAGUUAUUUCUGCUCAAUGACUUAAAUAGCCGCAGUACUCUGACUGUGCAAAGGUAGCAUAAUCAGUUGGCUUUUAAUUAGAGUCUUGUAUGAACGAAAAUAUGGGUAGUAACUGUCUUAGCAUAUUUUUUUGAACUUUUUAAACAAGUGCAAAUGCUUGUAAUUUAACAAUAGACGAGAAGACCCUAGAAACUUGGACAAGUUUUUGUUGGGGCGACAGAAUUACAUUUAACUAAUCUUAUAAUACAUGACGCGAUGUUGAAAGAAUAAGUUACUCUAGGGAUAACAGCAUAAUUUCAUUAGUUUGUGACCUCGAUGUUGGACUAGGUACUAUACCCUUAAGACAAGGAUAUAUUGUGCUCUGUUCGAGCAAAAUUACCUACAUGAUCUGAGUUCAGACCGG